AGACGCGGAGCCAUGGCCGAGGUGUUGCGGACGCUGGCCGAUACGUGGCUUUCCUGAAGCUGUUCCUGGAGACGGCGGAGAAGCACUUCAUGGUGGGCCACCGUGUCCACUACUAUGUCUUCACCGACCAGCCGGCCGCGGUGCCCCGCGUGACGCUGGGGACCGGUCGGCAGCUGUCAGUGCUGGAGGUGCGCGCCUACAAGCGCUGGCAGGACGUGUCCAUGCGCCGCAUGGAGAUGAUCAGUGACUUCUGCGAGCGGCGCUUCCUCAGCGAGGUGGAUUACCUGGUGUGCGUGGACGUGGACAUGGAGUUCCGCGACCACGUGGGCGUGGAGAUCCUGACUCCGCUGUUCGGCACCCUGCACCCCGGCUUCUACGGAAGCAGCCGGGAGGCCUUCACCUACGAGCGCCGGCCCCAGUCCCAGGCCUACAUCCCCAAGGACGAGGGCGAUUUCUACUACCUGGGGGGGUUCUUCGGGGGGUCGGUGCAAGAGGUGCAGCGGCUCACCAGGGCCUGCCACCAGGCCAUGAUGGUCGACCAGGCCAACGGCAUCGAGGCCGUGUGGCACGACGAGAGCCACCUGAACAAGUACCUGCUGCGCCACAAACCCACCAAGGUGCUCUCCCCCGAGUACUUGUGGGACCAGCAGCUGCUGGGCUGGCCCGCCGUCCUGAGGAAGCUGAGGUUCACUGCGGUGCCCAAGAACCACCAGGCGGUCCGGAACCCGUGAGCGGCUGCCAGGGGCUCUGGGAGGGCUGCCGGCAGCCCCGUCCCCCUCCCGCCCUUGGUUUUAGCAGAACGGGUAAACUCUGUUUCCUUUGUCCGUCCUGUUGUGAGUAACUGAAGCCUAGGCCCCGUCCCCACCUCAAAUCACACACACCCCCUCCCCACCACAGAGACACCAUUACAUACACAGACACACACAGAAAGACACACACAGACACAAAAUCACACACACACCCUCCCCGCCACAGAGACACCAUUACAUACACAGACACACACAGAAAGACACAGACACAAAAUCACA
rnacentral:lncRNA from 1 species